AUUUGACUGGCGGAAUGGUACCGCGCAGGACUCCGGGUCCUGAGGUUACGGGUUCGAUUCCCGUGUCAAAUG